UACGUAGGGUGCAAGCGUUAAUCGGAAUUACUGGGCGUAAAGCGUGCGCAGGCGGUUUUGUAAGCCAGAUGUGAAAGCCCCGGGCUCAACCUGGGAACUGCGUUUGGAACUACAAGACUAGAGUGUGUCAGAGGGGGGUGGAAUUCCGCGUGUAGCAGUGAAAUGCGUAGAUAUGCGGAGGAACACCGAUGGCGAAGGCAAUCCCCUGGGCCUGCACUGACGCUCAUGCACG
rnacentral:rRNA from 1 species